GAUGAAGAACGUAGCGAAAUGCGAUAAGUAAUGUGAAUUGCAGAAUUCAGUGAAUCAUCGAAUCUUUGAACGCACAUUGCGCCCGCCAGUAUUCUGGCGGGCAUGCCUGUUCGAGCGUCAUUACAACCCUCAGGCCCCCGGGCCUGGCGUUGGGGAUCGGCCGAAGCCCCCUGCGGGCACAACGCCGUCCCCCAAAUACAGUGGCGGUCCCGCCGCAGCUUCCAUUGCGUAGUAGCUAACACCUCGCAACUGGAGAGCGGCGCGGCCACGCCGUAAAACACCCAACUUCUGAAUGUUGACCUCGAAUCAGGUAGGAAUACCCGCUGAACUUAAGCAUAUCAAUAAGCGGAGGA
rnacentral:misc_RNA from 1 species